AUUCCAGCUCCAAUAGCGUAUAUUAAAGUUGUUGCAGUUAAAAAGCUCGUAGUUGGAUUUGUGGUGUAUGAAGGCGGCCCGUCACAUUGUGAUGGUGUUUGCCUUUGUCGCCAUCCUUGGGUGGAUCCUGUGUGGCAUUAAGUUGUCGUGCAGGGGAUGCCCAUCGUUUACUGUGAAAAAAUUAGAGUGUUCAAAGCAGGCUUAUGCCGUUGAAUAUAUUAGCAUGGAAUAAUAAGAUAGGACCUUGGUACUAUUUUGUUGGUUUGCGCACCAAGGUAAUGAUUAAUAGGGACAGUUGGGGGUAUUCGUAUUUCAUUGUCAGAGGUGAAAUUCUUGGAUUUUUGAAAGACGAACUACUGCGAAAGCAUUUACCAAGGAUGUUUUCAUUAAUCAAGAACGAAAGUUAGGGGAUCGAAGAUGAUUAGAUACCAUCGUAGUCGUCA
rnacentral:rRNA from 1 species